rnacentral:piRNA from 1 species
UAAAUUUGUACUGCUGUAACUUUUA